UACGAAGGGGGCUAGCGUUACUCGGAUUGACUGGGCGUAAAGGGCGCGUAGGCGGCUUGUACAGUCAGACGUGAAAUUCCUGGGCUCAACCUGGGGGCUGCGUUUGAUACGUGCGGGCUUGAGUUCGGAAGAGGGUCGUGGAAUUCCCGAGUGUAGAGGGUGAAAAUUCGUAGAUAUUGGGAAGAACACCGGUGGCGAAGGCGGCG
rnacentral:rRNA from 1 species